rnacentral:rRNA from 1 species
CGGGGAAUAUUGCACAAUGGAGGGAACUCUGAUGCAGCGACGCCGCGUGAACGAAGAAGGCUUUCGAGUCGUAAAGUUCUUUUAUAUGGGAAGAUAAUGACGGUACCAUAAGAAAAAGCCCCGGCUAACUACGUGCCAGCAGCCGCGGUAAUACGUAGGGGGCUAGCGUUGUCCGGAAUCACUGGGCGUAAAGGGUUCGCAGGCGGAAAUGCAAGUCAGGUGUAAAAGGCAGUAGCUUAACUACUGUAAGCAUUUGAAAUUGCAUAUCUUGAGAAGAGUAGAGGUAAGUGGAAUUUUUAGUGUAGAGGUGAAAUGCGUAGAUAUUAAAAAGAAUACCGGUGGCGAAGGCGACUUACUGGGCGCAUUCUGACGCUGAGGAACGAAAGCGUGGGUAGCAAACAGG